UUUUCCCUGGCUCAGCUGCUGCCAGGGCUGGGUGGGAGCUCCAGGGGGCUCAGAUUUGGGAUUGCAACCCUCCUCCUCUCCAUUGCAGGUACUAAUUCCCAAGCAGCUACUAAUUCCUCAGCCGUCCCCAUGGUCGAGGUGGCUCCGGAGAACAACCUGGUGAGAUGUCCGUGUUUCUUCCCGGUGUGUUGCCGUGCGGGGAGGGCUCCUGAGUCAUCCCAAACGAGGAUCCCCCCCCUUCCUCUGACCUUUGCCAUCCUCCCCCCAAGGGUCUGCCUUCCCCUCCCCAGCCCUUUCCUUAUCAGCGACAAACCUGAAGAAAAUCAGGAGAAGAACCUGCUUUGGAGCCAUCGUGUCCCGCUCCCAGCCCCAUCCUGCUUCAUCCCUCGUUGUCCCCAGGGAAAACUGUAGCCGUGCCAGACACCCACAGCUCAAGCCUUGGGCCACGCCAGAGUGUUGGGCUGUUCCUCCCUUGUCCCUCUGCUGAGGAUGUUUCUGCCCCUUCCUGGCUCUCCCUGGGGACACUCCAGCCCCACAGGGGGGUCAUUGUCCUCAAGGUUCACCCUAACGCUGCUCCAUGCUCUCUCCGCAGCAAGAGGAGCCAUCUGAGCCCGAGAGCCAGAGCGUCUUGCCCACCUUCACCAUCAGCCUCAAGAACAUGCACACGAGCUCGGCUGUCCCCGUCACCACAUGGCCCAAGCGGAUGUCACCCUGCGUGGAAAGGGGCAGCCAGAUGUCACCCAAGCUGCUGAAGCUGGAGUGCGACAGCAUGGCAGUGCCCAGCGAUCCCAGUUCAAACCAGCGGGAUGGCAGAAGGGGGCCCAGCACCUCCACGCUGACCCAGAACUGCAACCCUACUGCCACCAACACCGCUGAUGGUGCAGGUGGGGACCGGGGACGUGCCUCUCCUCCUUACUCUUACGGGGGUCCCCCAUCUUUCCCAGCCUCUGUGCACCCCCAUGCACUCAAAACCCUGUCACCCCCCCCCCCAAGUGGGAGAAGCAGAGGGUGGGAGCUGGUUCCCAGGGGGUAAAUAUGAGGGGCGGAUGCUCCAUCCAUCUCCAUGUCCUACCUCCGAGAUGGGGGUACCUACCUCCACGUCCUCCCCCAAGCCUAGGGAAGAGCACAGCAGCAGGGUAGGUGUGCAGAGGGGCUCCCUGCCCUCCUGCUCCACGAGCUCUGGAUUUUCCUGGGGAGGCAAAAAAACCCCACUCAUUUUUA
rnacentral:lncRNA from 1 species